AUGUGUUUCAGGCUGGGCCGGGCUUGGGAUUUUGAGGUUGGGCUUUGCAAAGCCUGGCCCGAACCAGGCCCGGCCUGGAGGAUGCCCAGGUUUAAUUCAAUACUCGGGUGUAGCGGAAAUGACAUGUUUAGAUGGAUGUGUGGCCACACAAGAAAGGAUCGGGUCCGGAAUGAUGAUAUAUGUGGUAGAGUUGGGACAACGCCGAUUGAAGAGAAGCUUGUCCAACAUUGUUCAAGAUGGUUUGGGCAUAUACAAUGCAGACCUCCAGAAGCUCCAGUGCAUAGUGGAUGGUUAAAGCGUGCUGAGAAUGUCAAGAGAGGUCAGCGUAGACCAAACUUGACAUGGGAGGCAUCCGUAAAAAGAGAUCUGAAGGACUGGAAUAUCACCAAAGAACUAGCCAUGGACAGGGGUGUGUGGAAGUUAGCUAUCCACGUGCUAGAACCAUGA
rnacentral:rRNA from 1 species